AACGAACGCUGGCGGCGUGCUUAACACAUGCAAGUCGAACGGCAAGGCCCUGCUUUUGUGGGGUGCUCGAGGGGCGAACGGGUGAGUGACACGUGAGUAACCUGCCCUAGACUUUGGGAUAACUUAAGGAAACUGGGGCUAAUACAGGAUAGGAUAUCCCGCUGCAUGGUGGGGGUUGGAAAGUGUCGGCGGUUGGGGAUGGACUAGCGGUUGAUGAGCUUGGUGGUGGGGUAGUGGAAGACCAAGGAGGUGGCGGGUAGCCGGCCUGGGAGGGUGACCGGGCACAGGGGGGCUGGGGGACGGCCCGGACGGCUUCGGGGGGCAGGGGUGGGGGCUAGUGCACGGUGGGCGGAGGGCGGGUGGAGCGACGCCGCGUGCGGGAGGACGGCCGUCGGGUGGUAAACCGCGUUCGCCUGUGACGAAGCGUGAGUGCCGGUACUGGGGAAAGAGGCACCGGCUAACUACGU
rnacentral:rRNA from 1 species